rnacentral:rRNA from 1 species
CCUACGGGUGGCAGCAGUGAGGAAUAUUGGUCAAUGGGCGCGAGCCUGAACCAGCCAAGUCGCGUGAGGGAAGACGGUCCUAUGGAUUGUACACCUCUUUUGUCGGGGAGCAAACGACGCCACGCGUGGCGUUCCGAGAGUACCCGAAGAAAAAGCAUCGGCUAACGCCGUGCCAGCAGCCGCGGUAAUACGGAGGAUGCGAGCGUUAUCCGGAUUUAUUGGGUGUAAAGGGUGCGCAGGCGGAAUAUCAAGUCAGCGGUAAAAUUGAGAGGCUCAACCUCUUCGGGUCGUUGAAACUGGUGUUCUUGAGUGAGUGAGAAGUAUGCGGAAUGCGUGGUGUAGCGGUGAAAUGCAUAGAUAUCACGCAGAACUCCGAUUGCGAAGGCAGCAUACCGGCGCUCAACUGACGCUCAUGCACGAAAGUGUGGGUAUCGAACAGGAUUAGAUACCCGAGUAGUC